UAUUUAUUUCGAGUAUCUUCUUUUUAAUUUUAACGUUAACAGGUCUUCGUGAAAAACUAAUUAAUGCCAUUCCGAUUGAGCUUAAAUAUGCAGUUGGGGCGGGCAUUGGUUUGUUUAUUACCUUUAUCGGCUUGCAAAGUGCUGGAAUUAUCGUAAAUAAUGAUGCAACUCUAGUUGGAAUUGGGGAUUUAUCAAACCCUAAUACAUUGCUUGCGAUUUUUGGAAUUAUAGUGACUGUCAUAUUGAUGACUAGAGGGGUAAAGGGCGGCGUUUUUUAUGGAAUGGUCAUUACGAUUAUCGUCGGUAUGAUUUUCAAUCUAAUUGACGUACCUACUAAAGUAGUAGAUGGUGUGCCUAGUAUUGCUCCUACCUUUGGUGCUUUAUUCUCUUCUUUUGGAGAUAGUUCAUUUUACACAGCAACGAUGCUUGGAAUUAUUUUAACAUUCUUAUUCGUAGAUUUCUUUGACAAUGCAGGGACGUUAGUGGCAGUUGCGAACCAAGCUGGAUUUGUAAAGGAUAAUAAGCUACCUCGUGCAGGUAAAGCGUUAUUAUCUGAUUCUGUUGCUUCAGUUUCUGGAUCGAUUCUUGGUACAUCAACCGUUACAUCUUUUGUUGAAUCAUCUGCUGGAGUUGCUGCUGGUGCGAGAACUGGAUUUGCUUCCUUAGUAACUGCAGGCUGUUUCCUUUUAUCAUUAUUCUUUUUUCCGGUAUUAAAGGUUGUAACACCAGAGGUAACUGCACCAGCGUUGAUCAUUGUCGGUGUGUUGAUGGUAUCUUCUCUUGGGAAAAUUGAUUGGACGAAGUUUGAAAUUGCGGUCCCUUCCUUUUUAACGAUGAUUACAAUGCCUCUCUCAUACAGCAUUGCAACGGGUAUAGCAGUUGGAUUUAUUUUCUAUCCGAUUACAAUGAUUGUAAAAGGAAAAGCAAAAGAGAUUCAUCCAAUCAUGUAUUUCUUCUUUGUCAUCUUUCUUCUAUACUUUAUCUUCUUGCAAUAAUUUCGAAACGGAGAUCCCUGUCAAAAGGAUCUCCGUUUUUUUGUCUAUAAAGCAUAAGUAAUGAAAGUAAAUGAUUAGGAGACUUUUGGGUAAGAUACCCAUAAAGUCUUCUUUUUCUUUCUUUUGGCUUAUGCUUUUUUAUUUAUGCAAAUGAUAGGUCAAAUGGUUGUUUUUUUGCUUAUUUUAGGGAGGUUUAAGUAUGUUUAAAAAAGCAUUUGGUGUAUUACAAAAGGUAGGUAAAGCGUUGAUGCUGCCUGUUGCCCUUUUGCCAGCAGCGGGAAUACUGCUUGCUCUAGGUGCGGCACUGAAGAAUCCGGCACUGCUCGAGUUGGCUCCAUUUCUGGAUAAUAACAGUGUGAAAAUGGUUGCUUCAAUCAUGCAGAACGCUGGGGAUAUUGUCUUUGGAAAUCUGCCUGUUUUAUUUGCUGUAGGUGUAGCGGUAGGUUUGGCAGGAGGAGAUGGUGUAGCAGGUUUAGCAGCCAUAAUUGGUUACUUAAUUAUGAAUGUAACGAUGGGCACAGCGGGANCACACUGCCAAGAAAAGCCUCUAGUGAGGAUAAGGUGCCCGUACCGCAAACCGACACAGGUAGGCGAGGAGAGAAUCCUAAGGUGAGCGAGAGAACUCUCGUUAAGGAACUCGGCAAAAUGACCCCGUAACUUCGGGAGAAGGGGUGCUUUUUAGGGUGAAUAGCCCUGAAAAGCCGCAGUGAAUAGGCCCAGGCGACUGUUUAGCAAAAACACAGGUCUCUGCGAAGCCGCAAGGCGAAGUAUAGGGGCUGACGCCUGCCCGGUGCUGGAAGGUUAAGAGGAGGGGUUAGCGCAAGCGAAGCUCUGAAUUGAAGCCCCAGUAAACGGCGGCCGUAACUAUAACGGUCCUAAGGUAGCGAAAUUCCUUGUCGGGUAAGUUCCGACCCGCACGAAAGGCGUAACGAUCUGGGCACUGUCUCAACGAGAGACUCGGUGAAAUUAUAGUACCUGUGAAGAUGCAGGUUACCCGCGACAGGACGGAAAGACCCCGUGGAGCUUUACUGUAGCCUGAUAUUGAAUUUCGGUACAGCUUGUACAGGAUAGGUAGGAGCCUUGGAAGCCGGAGCGCCAGCUUCGGUGGAGGCAUCGGUGGGAUACUACCCUGGCUGUAUUGAAAUUCUAACCCAUGCCCCUGAUCGGGGCAGGAGACAGUGUCAGGUGGGCAGUUUGACUGGGGCGGUCGCCUCCUAAAAAGUAACGGAGGCGCCCAAAGGUUCCCUCAGAAUGGUUGGAAAUCAUUCGAAGAGUGUAAAGGCAUAAGGGAGCUUGACUGCGAGACCUACAAGUCGAGCAGGGACGAAAGUCGGGCUUAGUGAUCCGGUGGUUCCGCAUGGAAGGGCCAUCGCUCAACGGAUAAAAGCUACCCCGGGGAUAACAGGCUUAUCUCCCCCAAGAGUCCACAUCGACGGGGAGGUUUGGCACCUCGAUGUCGGCUCAUCGCAUCCUGGGGCUGUAGUCGGUCCCAAGGGUUGGGCUGUUCGCCCAUUAAAGCGGUACGCGAGCUGGGUUCAGAACGUCGUGAGACAGUUCGGUCCCUAUCCGUCGUGGGCGCAGGAAAUUUGAGAGGAGCUGUCCUUAGUACGAGAGGACCGGGAUGGACGCACCGCUGGUGUACCAGUUGUUCUGCCAAGAGCAUCGCUGGGUAGCUAUGUGCGGAAGGGAUAAGUGCUGAAAGCAUCUAAGCAUGAAGCCCCCCUCGAGAUGAGAUUUCCCAUAGCGUCAAGCUAGUAAGACCCCUGAAAGAUGAUCAGGUUGAUAGGUUUGAGGUGGAAGCGUGGUGACACGUGGAGCUGACAAAUACUAAUCGGUCGAGGACUUAACC
rnacentral:rRNA from 1 species